UCUCAUCCGUUUUCGAACUACACGCUCAGGAAAAGUGAAAAUUAAAAAAAAGCUUUGAUGGAAAAAUGAAGGUAAUAUCUUGACGCCAAGAACAAUAGACGACUUACCAGCAUCUGAGGCUU